AGGGGAGACUGGAAUUCUCGGUGUAGCAGUGAAAUGCGUAGAUAUCGAGAGGAACACCAGUGGCGAAGGCGAGUCUCUGGACGACAUCUGACACUGAGGCACGAAAGCUAGGGGAGCAAACAGGAUUAGAUACCCUGGUAGUCCUAGCUGUAAACGGCACAUUUGCUGUGAACGGAUUCGACCCCGUUCGUGGCGGAGCUAACGCGUUAAAUGUGCCGCCUGGGAAGUACGGUCGCAAGAUUAAAACUCAAAGAAAUUGACGGGGGCCUGCACAAGCGGUGGAGUAUGUGGCUCAAUUCGAUGCAACGCGAAGAACCUUACCUGGCCUUGACAUGUAGGUGGUAGAAGGAUGAAAUUCUGACGAUCCCGCAAGGGAAGCCUACACAGGUGCUGCAUGGCUGUCGUCAGCUCGUGUCGUGAGAUGUUGGGUUAAGUCCCGCAACGAGCGCAACCCUUGUGUCCUGUUGCAAUCCAAACGAGAGUUUGGAGCACUCUGGACAGACUGCCUCGUCUAAACGAGGAGGAAGGUGGGGAUGACGUCAAGUCAGGAUGGCCCUUACGGCCAGGGCUGCACACGUACUACAAUGCCCGGUACAAAGAGACGCAAGACCGUCAGGUGGAGCAAAUCUCAAAAACCGGGCUCAGUUCAGAUUGUCGGCUGCAACUCGCUGACAUGAAGCUGGAAUCGCUAGUAAUGGCGCAUCAGCUACGGCGCCGUGAAUACGUUCCCAGGCCUUGUACACACCGCCCGUCACAUCAUGAAAGCCGUCUGUACCCGAAGUCAUUGUGCCAACCGCAAGGAAGCAGAUGCCGAAGGUAUGGAUGGUA
rnacentral:rRNA from 1 species